CACAAUUUGAAAUAACUGAUUUGCAGGUUUUUUUAUUGCCGUCGCCGGUGACCUAAUUUGUGCUCCGUCAAUCUCGCAACCACACCGCCCCUUCCAUCCAAUUUCCGGUAAUAAGCCUAUUAGGGUUUUUAUUUCUUUUAGAACAUUUAUUUAUUUACAAACUUAUAACUAAUUUGAAAUAAUUGAUUUUUAGGUUUUUUGUUCUAUUCACUCCGCCGCCUAUUGCUGUCGCCGGUGAUCUAAUUUGGGAUCCGCCCCUUCCAUCCAAUUUCCGGUAAUAAAGCCUAAAAGAGUUUUGCAAUUUUCAUAGUAAAUUUCCCCUUUUCAGUUUUGGCGGGAUGGGCGAGAUCAAAGGAUCGUUUGAUGAAGCAGUAGCGCAGAAACUCUGCUUUUCAGAUAGGGUAUGUAUUGUUUGCCGGCAUCAUGAUUAUGAUUAUUUCAAUGGCUACCUUAUCUUUGUUAUCGACUUAUGCGAAUUAGUUAAUGGAUCUAAGGGGGUUUUACAAUACAAUAUCCUGCUCAAUUAUGAUCUUAGCAUGUCAGUUUGUGGUCUUGAUUCCACACUUUACUUUGUUGAAUCUCUUAGUUGUUCAGUGAUUCCGAACAUAUACAUUCUCGAUGUCGAAACCAAACAUCAAAGAUUGAAAUUACGCCCUAAACAUUUACAGUGCUUACCUCCUAUGUUGGGCCCCAAACGCUUUCUUCGAAUAGCAUCAAUUCCUCGCGCUAAAAAGAUUCUAGUAUUUUCUUCUCAGUUCCAAGUGUUGUUGUACAAUCCUAAUUUGGCUGAUGAUGGUUUUGUUGAUGAUUUUGAUGAACACAUUGAUUUUGAGAUGUAUGAUGUUGGAAGCAAUACAUGGGAAAAACUACCUCCACUUAUUAUCCUAAAAGUCUACAGUAAUGGUAACUUUAUGAAUCCUUCCUUUUUCCUGCUGCAUGAGGCCGAGAAAACAGAGAUCCCUAGGACUGCUUGGGAUGAAGAUUUUGGAAUAUAUGAGAUUUCUCGUUAUACGUUGAUCGAUGAGGAUGUAUUUCUGGUGCAACUUACUUGUGGUGUAAUGCUUACUCUUGAUCUCAAGUCUCCCUCCAAAGGCUGGAAACUGUACGAUGAAGGUAUGGUAACUAAGCCUAGUUCAGAUCAGAAUCUGUUUGUAGUUGAGGAUAAAUUCCGAAUGCCUUGGUGUGCUUCUGAUAUUCGAGGAGAUAGGAAAUUCGGAAAUGCUGUUGCGUUUCCACUAUCGUUGUUCGGUGAAGACGAUGCGUUGAAAGUAUAUCCUUGUUCAAUCAUCACUCAUUUGGAGAGUGACAAGGCUAAGGGUCAUGUCUGCAUUGUGCAAGGUGGCGUUAGUCGGAAGUCGAAGCAUCCUCAAAUGGUUAUGGAUGUAGGGAAUCUGCAGGGUGAGGUUGUUGCUUCUUAUAGAUUUGAAGUGCAGCAUAGGAUCAAGUGUUUCACACCUCUCUGCAUGUUUGUUUGCCAUCCAAAGCAAAGGAUGGGUGAGAUCAAACGAUCGUUUGAUGGAGCAGUAGCGCAGCAGCAGCAGAAACUCCGCUUUUCAGAUAGGGUAUGUUUUGUUUGCAGUGUCGAUCCGAAAUAUGGUCGCUAUGGUUGUGGUUGUGAUUGUUGUGAUGGUUUCAAAGGCGACCUUAUCUUUGUCGUCGACUUAUCUGAAUUAGUUAAUGGAUCUAAGAAGUAUUUACAAUAUAAUAUCCUACUCAAUCAUGGCCUUAGCUGUUCAGUUUGUGGUCUUGAUUCCACACUUUAUUUUGUUGAUUCUCCUGAUUCGUCCGAGAGUCCGACAGUAUACACUCUCGAUGUCGAAACCAAACAUCAAGGCUUGAAGUUAGGCCUUGAUGAUUUAGGCAGCUUACCUCCUAUGUUGGGACCCAAAUGCUGUGCUCGAAUAGCAUCAAUUCCUAGCACUAAAAAGAUUCUAGUAUUUUCUUCUAUGUUGUACAAUACCAUUACCACCUUCUUUGGUGAUGGUGUUGAUCCUGGUUUUGAUAAAGACAUUGAUUUUGAGAUGUAUGAUGUUGGAACCAAUACAUGGGAAAAACUAACUCUAUGAAUCCUUCCAUUUUCCUGGUGCACGGGGAUGAGAAAACAGAGAUCCCUAGGAAUGCUUGGGAUAAAAAAUUUCAUACAGAGAUUUCUCGUUAUACUUUGAUCGAUGAGGAUGUAUUUCUGGUGCAACUUACUUGUGGUAUAAUGCUUACUCUUGAUCUCAAGUCCCCCUCCAAAGGCUGGAAACUGUACGAUGUAGGUAUGGUAACCAAGCCUAGUUCAGAUCAGAAUCUGUUUGUAGUUAAUGAAAAAACCCAAAUGCGGUGGCAAACGCCUUGGUGUGCUUCUGAUAUUCAAGGAGAUAGGGAAUUCGGAAAUGCUGUUGAGUUCCCACGAACUUGGUUCGAUGAAGACGAUCCGUUGAGACGGUAUCCUUGUUCAACAAUCACUCCUCUGGAGGGUGAGGAGGCUAAGGGUCAUGUCUGCAUUGUGCAUGGUGGCGUUAGUCGGAAGUCGAAGCAUGGUCAAGUCAUUAUGGAUGUAGGGAAUGUGCAGGGUGAGGUUGUUGCUUCUUGUAGAUUUGAGGUGCCGCAUAGGAUCAAGGACUUCGAUCCUUCCUGCAUGUUUGUUUACCAUCCAAAGCAAAGUGACACUGAGGAUCAAGCUUUGCUGCCUUAUCUUUGAAGAAUAUCUAUUUCUUUUAUUGAAGUUUCAAGACUUAUGUACAGAGAGAGAGAGAGUAGGUAUUCAUUAUUUCUUCAUUGUUAGGAAAUAUAGCAAGCAUAUAUAUGAAAUUUAAGAGGCGAAAGCCCUAGUCACUUUUGAGUAGAACAUUUCAAUGCAUAAUCUAAUUAGCAUCCUUCAAUUCAACUA